GCCGCUCCUGCCGUGCAUGUUGGGGAGCCAGUACAUGCAGGUGGGCUCCACACGGAGAGGGGCGCCGACCCCGUGAUAGGGCUUUACCUGGUACAUCGGGGUGGCGCGUGCCAGACACCAACGGUCGGAAACCGCCAGACACCAACGCUCGGAAUCCACGCCAGGCCACGACGGAGGGCGACUACCUCCCUUCUGACCCUGCUGCUGGCGUUCGGAAAAAACGCAGUCCGGUGUGCUCUGAUUGGUCCAGGCUCUUUGACGUCACGGACUCGACCUUUGACAGAGCCACUAGGCGAAAAGGAGAGACGGGAAGUAUUUUUUCCGCCCCGCCCGGAAAGGGUGGAGCACAACGUCGAAAGCAGCCGUUGGGAGCCCAGGAGGCGGGGCGCCUGUGGGAGCCGUGGAGGGAACUUUCCCAGUCCCCGAGGCGGAUCCGGUGUUGCAUCCUUGGAGCGAGCUGAGAGCUCGAGUACAGAACCUGCUAAGGCCAUCAAACCUAUUGAUCGGAAGUCAGUCCAUCAGAUUUGCUCUGGGCCGGUGGUACCGAGUCUAAGCACUGCGGUGAAGGAGUUAGUAGAAAACAGUCUGGAUGCUGGUGCCACUAAUAUUGAUCUAAAGCUUAAGGACUAUGGAGUGGAUCUCAUUGAAGUUUCAGGCAAUGGAUGUGGGGUAGAAGAAGAAAACUUCGAAGGCUUAACUCUGAAACAUCACACAUCUAAGAUUCAAGAGUUUGCCGACCUACCUCAGGUUGAAACUUUUGGCUUUCGGGGGGAAGCUCUGAGCUCACUUUGUGCACUGAGUGAUGUCACCAUUUCUACCUGCCAUGUAUCGGCGAAGGUUGGGACUCGACUGGUGUUUGAUCACUAUGGGAAAAUCAUCCAGAAAACCCCCUACCCCCACCCCAGAGGGAUGACAGUCAGUGUGAAGCAGUUAUUUUCUACGCUACCUGUGCACCAUAAAGAAUUUCAAAGGAAUAUUAAGAAGAAACGUGCCUGCUUCCCCUUCGCCUUCUGCCGUGAUUGUCAGUUUCCUGAGGCCUCCCCAGCCAUGCUUCCUGUACAGCCUGCAGAACUGACUCCUAGAAGUACCCCACCCCACCCCUGCUCCUUGGAGGACAACGUGAUCACUGUAUUCAGCUCUGUCAAGAAUGGUCCAGGUUCUUCUAGAUGAUCUGCACAAAUGGCUCCUCUCCUCCUUCCUGAUGUCUGCCAUUAGCACUGGAAUAAAGUUCCUGCUGAAAAUCCACAUCUCCCCUGGGUCCGGUGUUCUGGAAGUGAGAGAGACAAUGUCACACCUCAAGGAGACAGCUCUCUAGACAGGAAGGUUAUUCACGUCCCAUGUCAAGUCUAGCUAGAGUUCAGAGCAAUUGAGAAGUGCGAUUUUAUCUCCUGCCUUUCAUUCUAUACCCUGCUUCUGAACCAUCGUGUUCAACUGUGAAACUCACGCUUUGGUGACCCUGACUCCAAAACUUAAUACACCCAAGGUCAGCCCCAGUGAUCUGCUUCAUAGCGAGGACUU